rnacentral:lncRNA from 1 species
CCCAAAGGAUUUUGCCUCCCGCAUCUACAGCUCAGUUAAGAGCAGUUUAAAUGUUAGCCCUGAUGCAGCAGUUGAGGAAGAAGAGGAUAUUGAGGAACCUGAAGCUGAAGCUGAUGAGAAAGAAGCUGCUGCCAAAGAUGAUUCUGAUGCCAAGGACGAAUUAUAGUUUAGUCCAGAAGAAUGCCCUUUCUCUAGAUACAACUACGUAGCAGUAACAUGCUAUAAUCAAAGUGCAUGUGCUUAAUUUGAGUUUACAAUUGUUAGUUCAAUAGAUAAAUCUCUCUGCAUGUAAUCAAAUGAUAGAUGUUACAGAAAUGGCUAACUGUUACUAAUUUCGUGUACUUGGUUAACAGGAUGAGAGCGUGAAGCAAACUGCUCAGCUGAUGUACCAGACAGCAUUACUGGAGAGUGGUUUCCUGCUCAAUGACCCAAAGGAUUUUGCCUCCCGCAUCUACAGCUCAGUUAAGACCACUUUAAAUGUGAGCCCUGAUGCAGCAGUUGAGGAAGAAGAGGAUAUUGAGGAACCUGAAGCUGAAACUGAUGAAAAGGAAGCUGCUUCCAAAGAUGAUUCUGAUGCCAAGGACGAAUUAUAGAUUACUCUUGAAGAAUGCCCUUUCUCUGGAGAAAACUUCGUAGAAGUCACAUGCUAUAAUCAAAGUGCUUGUGGAUAAUUUAGGUUUCAGAUUGUUAGUCCAUAGGUUAAUGUUACAAGUACCAGGAUUUUUGUAUGUCUUGCAUUUUUACGGAUUUUUUGUAUGAGAACGUUUCUGAGUUUUCUGCAACAUAAUGUAAUCUGCGAUCCUUUCCCUUUCCUUUUUACCUCCAGCUUCUGUCCUUCAUAAAGUGUCUGUAGGUGGCUUUUUAAGUCCGCCAUCAAAUCCCAGGGCUCAGCCCUGGACAUGCGGUGGAAACUACCAAGCUGGAGUAAGGUAGGGGCAGAGGGGUGGAUGCCCUUGUUGCUAAGUACAUCAAUCUUUCCAAGCCUGGUCCACGGAGGAGCUCUUCAUUGGUUUUUAGCUUCGAAUGCUACCUAAAAUCACUAUCCUUGCAGGUCUACUAAAAGUUUCAUAGCGUAUUAGUUAUUUUGAACUGGAAUAAAAAAAUGUUUUUGAAUCCCUCGGAAUCAUCAGUGAGUUUUAUCUUAGAAGUGUCAUAUUUUACAAUUAUUGUGACCAAAGUUAACAUGUUUAACGUCAAACGCGAUGAUUGGCAAUAUGACAAUUGCAUAUCAGAGAGAAAUCUAUUCAAGUAAAUUUAUUUUAGUUGCUCUUUACAGAUUUGUUUGUAGUUUUAUGUCCUUUUUACAUGCAAUUUUAUUUUUACACAUAAGAGCCCUGAAAAUAACAUAUAAAACAUCUUUGCAUGGGCAUUUUCAUUUCUUC